UACGAAGGGUGCAAACGUUGCUCGGAAUUAUUGGGCGUAAAGCGCACGUAGGCGGCUAUCUAAGUCGGAUGUGAAAUCCCUCGGCUUAACCAAGGAAGUGCACCCGAAACUGGAUAGCUUGAGUACAGAAGAGGAUCGCGGAAUUCCCGGUGUAGAGGUGAAAUUCGUAGAUAUCUGGAGGAACACCGGUGGCGAAGGCGGCAUCCUGGACCAAUUCUGACGCUGAGGAGCGAAAGCCAGGGGAGCAAACGGG
rnacentral:rRNA from 1 species